rnacentral:lncRNA from 1 species
CCGCGAACACAAGAUAGAUUAGAUUACCGCCAAAGCACAAACAUUCGUCAGAAACCUUGUAUUUAUUGCAACGAUAUGCACGACCCCGCAAAAUGCUUAAAAGUUCCAGAUUAUGAACACCGGAUAACAAUUAUUAAACACAAGCACUUAUGCUUUAAUUGCUUGGGAUCGCACCGCGCAUGUGAAUGUAGAUCUCAAUUUCGUUGCAGAUUCUGUAACAAGAAUCACCAUACUAGUAUAUGUACCCAAAAUACCGACAGAUCGUACUUUGAUAAAACCGCUAAUGUAAGUAGAUAUGAUACGUCAGUUAACGCCGUAGUCAACAAUGAAAUUGUUGCCACUGCCACAAGUUUUUAUUCGUCCACGAUGCAAUCCCGUUCUAGCAUAUUACUGAAAACCGCCGUAGCACCCGUUUGGAGUGAACAUCAAGGAAUGAAUACGAAUAUAUUGUUCGAUGAAGGAGCACAGCGUUCUUUCGUUACCGAGGAAUUAGCUUCAACACUAGAUAUUAAGACAGAAGGUACCGAAGUAAUUAAUCUUUCGACAUUUGGAAAUACAAGCACUAAAGUUCAACACUUACCGAAAGCAAUUAUAUAUGUUGAACCAAUAGAAGGAGAGAAAAUACCCAUUGAAGUUUUAGUAGUUCCUACUAUAGCAAGUCCGAUCACAAAUUAUAGUGCAAAUAAAACACGAGAUUGCAAACAUCUAGAAGAAUUAAGAUUAGCACACCCGAUCACGAACGACAACAAUUUUAGUAUAUCUUUACUGAUAGGUGCUGAUUUUUACUGGGAUUUUAUAGAAGAUACCAUUAUUAGAGGAAAAGGUCCGACAGCUGUUAAAUCUAAACUUGGUUACCUGUUGUCUGGUCCGACAUCACCAGAUGUGAAUCGUAAAUCGGGAGCAGUAGGAAUGGCCACAUUUUGGCAAAUCAGAAACCGGAAGAGUUUAAAGUAGAGUCACUAGGAGAAGUCGAUACACAACAUGAUGAAGAAAAUAUGUACCAAAACACAUCAGUAGAAUUUCAUGAAAAUAGAUACGUACCAAAGUUGCCCUGGAAACAUGAUCACGAUACCUUACCAAAAAAGUAAUUACAAAACAGAGAACUGAUAACGUUAGAGAGUUACAUAAAAAGGGUAGAGACAACACAAUCAACAUCCGUUUCGGAGUUAUUGGGCAAGUUCGUGAAGAAAAACCACGAACUCGGUGGAAAAAAGCAAUUUUCCCAGAUCGUCAAACUUUAUCCGCUAGAGAUCAGCAAAGAGGACCUACCAAAUACAGCAGAUGAGACGAAUGAAGUUGAUACCAGAAGAAUAGUGCCUAUGCGAAAGACAUCUUAAAACUUGGACAAAUUCUUCUAGA